rnacentral:lncRNA from 1 species
AGACAUUAAUCUUAAGUAUCCAGGGAGCCCUAAAACAUUGUAUCCCACUAGCAAGGACCAUGGUAAUUGCCACGUAAAUCCCCUCCAUUAUGUGGCCCUUAUUAUGACCAGCCAGCCAAGGCUUGCCUUUAAAUCAUACCAAUUGAACCGAGCCUUGUAGAAACACUAUCACCUACGCAUACCUCUGCUUCUUUUCAUUAACCUGCUAUCCUCUUUACAAAUGGGAUUCUUCACCCACUCCCUUCUUCUAGAUUAGCAAUGCCCUGUUAAGUAAACGAACACGAAAUUCAAAGGGAAACAGGAGCAAUCAUCAUUACCAGCUGCCGUGUUAAGCAUUGCGAAAACGCUCACGAUUCACAGAAAAAUCCAUGCUGUUCUUUGAAGGCAUUCAAGCCUUAAUAGCUAGCUGGAUGAAUGUUUAACUUCUAGGCCAGGCACUACUCUGUCCCAACAAUAAGCCCUGUACAUUGGGAAAGGUGCCGAGACAUGAACUUUGGUCUUCUCUGCAAUCCAUCUGGAGCAUUCACUGACAACAUCGACUUUGAAGUUGCACUGACCUGGCCAGCCCUGCCACUUACCAGGUUGGGCUGUGGCUUGCCUUUUCACUUCUUGUGUCCUGUUUAAGAAAUAUCUGCUAUCCCAAGAUUGCAAACUCCUAGAGAAGGGCUCAACAGUGAGUGCUGAGGCUGCACAGAGGAGGAAGGCAGCACAAUGAUGGAAGGCUUCCUAAAGAGAUAACACUAACAAAGUUGACCUUAGAAUUGGAGUGCCUGGGUUAGAACCCUGCUGGUACCACCUGCUUACUGCAUGCUUCUGAUGUGAGUUCAGGAGAAGACACUGGCAAGGACAGCAAAGAACAGGAGAACACUCUAGCUUCCCUGAUAGCAUUCAAGGUGCUGUCCAAACUGACUGUGAUGGCACCCUCCAGACAGACAGCGAUGCCACAUGUUCAAGAUGGCAGAAUCACUAUCAGCUUCAAUUCCUGAAUGACUGCAGAGCAAAAUUUCUUACCUGCAACAUACACUCUAUUUUCAGCCUCCCUGGACUGUUACAUAAUGAUACAUAAAAAUAUUUCUUGUGUUGAGGCAUCCCAAAUUUGAUUUAUUUGUCAUCACAGUCUAUCCUAUGAAUAUAUUUCUGAUCCAAAUAAUGCUAGAUUCAUGAGAGUUUAUAGUCCAGAGAUUUUUUUUUUUUUUUUGAGACAGAAUCUGUCUCCCAGGCUGGGGUGCAGUGGCAUAAUCUUAGCUCACUGCAACCUCUGCCUCCCGGGCUCAAGUGAUCCUCCCUCCUUAGCCUCCAUGAGUAGCUGGGACCACAGGUGUGCACCACCACACCCCGCUAAUUAUUUUGUAUUUUUUGCAGAGGGGGGUUUCACCACAUUGCCCAAGCUGGUCUCAAACUCCUAGACUUAAGGGAUCUGCCUGCCUUGGCCUCCCAAAAUGCUGAAAUUACACUUGUUAGCCAUAGUAAUAGUUCCUAGCCAUAGUCCGGAGAUAUUUUAAAAACUUUAGUGUGAGUUAUUUCUCUUUGCUAUAAUUCUCUCAUGCAUUUUGAAAACCUUUUCUGCCAUACAGUGGUUUUUGGGAAGUCCUUUUGGACAGACAUAUCACAGGAUGGAGAAACUAAAAAGAGAGAAUGCAUUAAAGAAAAAAUAGUACUUCGUAUUUCAGAAAUUACAAAAGGGUGUCAUGCCCCACAGCAUGGUGGGCAGUCAUUUGUAACCCACAGAACAUUGAGUUUCUAAAAUUUGAGUGUUUUUAACUUACGAAGGCCAACUUUACUGAUGAAGUGAUUACCCCAAAUAUGUGAAAUCCAUAUUUCAAGUACAAUAGUAGGAAAUUGGAAAUGGAUAGUUCAUUGUCAGUGUAUGAAAAACCUACUGAUUUUUUACGUUGAUUUUAUAUACUGCAACUUUAUUGAAUUCUCAACAAAUGGUGUUGAAAAAACUGGAUGUCCUCAUGAAGAAGAAUGAAAUUGAACACAUCACAUCCCAUAUACAAGAAUCAACUCAAAGUGGGUUGAAGACUUAAAUAUAAGAUCUGAAACUAUAAAACUAUUAGAAAUAAAAAACGUAAGAGGAAAGCUCCACACACUGAUCUGGACAAAGAUUUUUUUGACCAUGACCCUAAAAGCACAGGCAACAAAAACAAAAAGAGACCAUUAAUCUAUUAGUUAUUGUAUUGCAUCAAACUAAAAAGCUUACGCACAGCAAAGGAAACAAUUUACAAAAUAAAGAGACAACCCAUAGGUUAAGAGAAAAAUAUGUGCAAAUAAUACAUCUGUUAAGGGGCUCUAAUAUCCAAAAUACAGAGAGAAAUUAAACAACUCAAUAAUAAGAAAACAAGUGAUUACAUUAAAAAUAGUCAAAUGACUUGAACAGAUAUUUCUCAAAAGAAGACACAUAAAUGGCCAGUGGGUUAUUAAUAACAAAGCCCAAUAUCCCUAUCACUAAUCAUUGGGGAAAUGCAAAUUGAAACCACAAUUAAAUAUCACCUCAGAUCUGUCAGAAUGGCUAUUAUCAAAAAGAUGAAAUUUAAAUGUUGG